CUUAAAGAGACAGCUGCCCGUUUCUUAACUGCACUCCUGGGGAUUCGGCAAUACAAACAGCAGCAUCACGACUCGCUGGGUUCCUUAAAGAGACAGAGCGGGGCUCCCCAGAGCCAGGGCUGGGGGCUGCCGAGGCGUUCUCACGUUAUUAUUAUUAUUCCCCUACUAACGCUGUCUGUGUGCGCAGGCAGGUGGGCGACCUGAGAAUGAUCCCAAGAGCUGGAAAAGAAUAAGCGCCUGGUUCCGGAUUGUGCCGCCUUCUCAGCCGCACAGAGAGCGGCACUCACCAUCCCUCUCCUCGCCCUCUCCCUCUCUGACACCAACAUGCACAUGCCCACACGCACCCAUGGGUUUGUGCGGCACUCGGAGAGCCACAGCACAGCACAUCCCGGAAAGGACUGAUUUACAGCGCCGGAGUGAAAACUAUUGCAGCAAUCCGAGCCUUUGCCAGGCUCUGUGGCAUUUGACGCUGGCCCUUGCUGGAGGCAGAGUUCUGGACGGGACGAACAGCUUGCCCUGUUAAUUCCUUUAAAAACAGUAAAGAAAUAUCUGUAAUAAAGUCCCAGGGAGUAGUAGUAGCAGCAAUAUUUCGCUUCUAUAUUAAUUCCCAAAAGAGAAAUGUAUUUGAUGUCUAUUUUUAUGACUACAUUCUCCUUUUUUUUCAGCUUUUUGGCAGCUGGGGAUAUAAUAUCUGCAAUACAUUAAUGAGCCCGAUCCAAAGAUUAGUAAUGUCAGCAGAAGGACUGUUAUUCCUUUCAAGGGGCUUUGAACCAAGCUCUUGAAAUACUUUAGAACUAUCAUUGGUCAUUAGAACACAUCUUUCUUAUUCUUUAAACACAUUAUCUCCAAUGUAUUUUCAGCUAUUACAGCAGGACAGUCACUCUCAUUUCUGUUGAAGGAAAAGGCUCUUUUGUUAGGUUUUCACAGACAGGACUGAAUUAUAUGAUGACUAUUUAAUUUCUGGCAUGUUUACCCUGUGAUCAGCAAAGUAAAAUAAAUGUAAAUCUUGCCAGAAGACUGAAUAACUAAACUAUUGCAAGAUUCCAUGGGAAAAAAGAAUCUGCCAGGAACUUCACUUGGUUAAAAAAAAGAAUCAGAAAUUUAAUUAAAGAUGGCUCAAAAACAUUCAGAAGGACAUCAAAGAUGUUUAAAAAUACCCAAGACAUUUCUAUGAGCUUGGUUUCUCCAGUGUCUCAAGGUUUAAAAAAAUAUAACCUCUUAAAAUAUAAAAGGCAAAAUUUCCCUGAUGAUUGGGGUACUCAUAUUCUGAUAAACUCCUGAUGGAUUAAUGUGAACAAUUCCAUGCCAGUAAAUGUUCUGAUCUCAGGAGUUGUGCACACAUUGCAGACAUGCUGGCCUGCUGCCUCUCUUCUAUUUAUUUUCCCAAAAUUCACAGGAAAUUAAUAUAUUUAAGACCUCUGUGCCUUUGUGCAUCUAAAAGAGUUCAAAAGUUUUGGUGAGGGACAAAAGUAUCAACAUUAGCACAUAAGGAAUUACUUAAUUCCUUAGAAAAACAACAUCAAAAUGAGGACUUAGAAUACACAGUGGCCAACGGUUAUUGGGAAAAAACAAUUUUUAAGAUUUUGCAAUUCCUUGCUUUGCUCAGACCACCUCAGGUCUGGCACAUAAUGAGAUAUUUCUCAUAUUCAUAGUUGAGCACAAGCACUGAUGCACAGACCAGGAACAUUCCUGCAUUGCCAGAUCAGUCCCUUCACCUGCAGAAAGCUUUUCUGCAUAAAACCAGUGGAAUAAUCGAAGCUGAAGAGGACAAUUUGUAUGUGCUUCACUUUUUCAGUCAGAUCAAGAACAAACUUUCCCAGAUGAAGUCAGAUCUUUAAGCACAGAACUUGUGAUAGCGCUGGGAUCACUCCAUGGGCCUGCAAGUACCAUCUGUCUCCUCAUCUAAAGUAAUUUUAAUUAAAACUGUGAGAUUAUUUCUUGUUUUCUCUCAGUCCUGUGAAGGAGAGAUGCCAGGCAAAGUCAUGAGCAAAGAUAAGUGGAAAAAAACCCCUGGAUUUGCAGCUAAAAGCUCAUCAAGAAGGUCCUCAGAAUGCUGACCAAGAGCUGCAUCUUCAAACACCUCUGAGGAACAAAGCCAUACACCUUUUUGGAACAAUUCCAUUUUCAUUUAUUUUGUUUACACAUAAUAAACUCUUACUCUGGACAGUGAAAUUUGGCCUUUCCAGCUGAGGAUUUUCUGUCCCAGCAGAACAGAUGACCAGUAACCAAGAAGAACUUCUUUGUCUUCACCUUGAGCAAGUCCCUUAAUACCACUUUGCCUCAAUUUUCCCAUCUGCAAAUGUUUACUUUCCUCAGCAGAAUUGGCUGUUGAUUUACUUUUGCCUCCUGCUGAAUAACGUUCCCAAAGACAAAGCGUUAUUCAGCGCUGGAAUUGGUGGUGCCGACAUUUCCUGCCCAGGCACAAAAAGACCAGCACUAUUUUUAGUGAGGGCUUUUCUUUCCAUUGUUUCUUUCUCUGUGAAGCUGGAUUUUCCAGUGCUCUUUAGUGUGGCUUUUUGUGUGUGCGUGUGUGUUCAUUGAUUGGAAAUCCUGAGGGAUGAGUUUUUGGUUUCAAUUAACUUUUAUUAAUAAAGAUCACGCUAUAGACUAA